GAACAGUUUGAUGACAGCAAACACUUUCUUUAAUCUUCCUGAUAGUUGUACCCAGAGCUGUUUUUGAUACUGAGAACUGCACAAAUAAAUUGCCCACAUCUUAUCCUGGUGCAAUCUAAAUCUCUGAUUUAACUAUGCUGUUUUCUUGUCUUUCAAAUAGACAUGCUACAGCCGUUUUCCCAGUGAAGUCCAGUGCAAAGAGGGAGAGGUGUGCCAAAGAGGCCCGAGAGAUGGACGUUCCUCAGUGUGGGUAAGAGAACAGACUGGAGGCAGGGGAGGGCGGCUGGAGCCCUGUGGAUCCACACGCUGUGACCAUCAUUCAGUAAAAAGGAAAGGAGUCACCACUGGAAAGCUCUGAGAUUCAGAGGCAGUGAGUAAACAGCAUUUUUAUUUUUCCUUCAAUGGAAUAUAAGUUCCUCAAGAGGAGAAGAAGAGUACAGGACCCUGGCUUUAACCAGGCUCUGUCACCAUCAAGAGGUGUGAUUAGGGAUCAAGGCCUAGCCUUCCUCCUAUUGAAGUGGCCGAGUCCUUCCCUGCCUUUUUCGCCAGUCCCUGCUGAUGCUGCUCUUGGCAGCAGCGCCACCGCAGUGACAUGGAUGUCCUUCACCACCGUCCUCUCCAGCCUCUCAGUGCUGCCCCACCACUCUCCACCGCAGUGACAUGGAUGUCCUUCACCACCGUCCUCUCCAGCCUCUCAGUGCUGUCCCACCACUCUCCUGUGCUGACCCUGUUGCUCUCACAAAUAUAAGGAAAGAUUCUCUCUCCAGUCUUGUUACCUCUCUGCUGCUGCUGCUGCUAAGUCACUUCAGUCGUAUCUGACUCUGUGCGACCCCAAAGACGGCAGCCCACCAGGCUCCCCCGUCCCUGGGACUCUCCAGGCAAGAACACUAGAUUGCUAAAUGUGACCCUGCUCUCUUUUUUUAGUAAAUCUCCUGUAAAGGGUAGUUUCACCUUUUUAGUCUCCUGUAGGACAGUCUUUCAAAUAACAUGAUAAAAGCUACCCCCUGAGUUGUCAGAAAACAUUUGGGUGACAACUCCAAUAACCUAUUCAAAAAGUCCUUUCCCGGUGAUUAUAAAGCACUGUUCCAAGCAAGGAGUCAAAUCAUCUUGGUCCGUGCCUAUAUGUCAGUAUCAUUACACUUUAUGUUUGCUGCCCCACAGCAACACACACACACGCACACGCGCACACACACACACACACAGUCUUGCAUACCUUACUGGAUAUUUUUAGGGCUUCCCUGGUGGCUCAGAAGUUAAAGCAUCUGCCUGCAAUGCGG